GCUCAGGACACAGCUUGCAGGCUAGGGAAAGGAUCAGGUCUGCAGAGAGAAGGACAGCGAUGACCUGAUGGCAGGGCAGGCUGACUCUGGCUAACUCUAAAAUGUCUAUGAAGAUGAGCCUCGAGAAGUAGAAGCAUCCUAAGGUUCCAAAUAUUAAAUUAAGGUUCUUAGUAAUAAUCGUGACAGCCACUCCCAUUUGCAGAAUAAGCACUUGAGAAUAAACCUAAUUCUGUAGUUUACAGGUAAGGAAACUGAGGCACCAAAAGUGUGCAGCUUUCCCAGAAUCACCUCCACUGCUGACUGGCUGAGGAGGACUCUGACCUAGCUCUCUGGCUCCUGACUGCUUUCUUAGAAUGCUCUGUAGACGAAAAGCCUUCACAGCUGCUGCCUUCCAGACUGUGCUCCUUCAUGUGGGAGCUCUUAAAAACCAAACCAAAAACAAACAAAAGAAUUUUAGCUGGAGGCUGGACAAAUGGCUCAUACAUACAACGGUUGCUGCUCUUUCAAGGACCUAAACUGGGUUCCCAGCACCUAUAUUUAGUGGCUCAAAACCACUUGUAGCUUUAGCUCUAAGACCUAACAUCUUAUUGUAGCCUAAUUGUGUGCCCAUAUAUGACAUACAAUGACAUAGGCACACACACACACACACACACACACACACACACACACACACACUCAACUCUCUAGGGCACAGAAAUCAGCAUUUGAAUAAUACAAAGACAUUCUUACAAAGUGCACAAUAAUAUUAUCCUAGUACUGAGCCAAAUGUGGUGACACACACUUCAUUCCAGCACUUGGAGGGCUGAGGCAGGAGGGUCUCAGAUUUGAGGCCAGACACACAACAUUGUUAUGCCACAAGACGAGUAAAAGCCACCUUGAAUUGUGUGUCCAGUAGAAGGCACUCUCUAUUUCCCUCUUCUGCCAGCUCUGCUGCACCUCUUUGUUUCUCUGUGAACGCACACAUCUUUUUCUGUGUUCAGGCUCAUGUUUUAGAGAUGCAGAGUAGAGCUGAAGAGUCCUGCGUGUCCAGCAUCACAGAUGUAUUCAUCUGACUCACUCCUUUGCUUUUGUAAAUGCAGUUCAUGUUCCAUCUGAGAAGAUCUCCAUUUCUUCAAGUAUUUAACAACAGUCCUGAUGAGUCCUCCUAUUAUAGACACCAUUUUGCCCGGCAGGAUCUGACUCAGUCCCUCAUUAUGAUCCAGCCCAUUCUCUAUUCUUACUCCUUCCACGGACCACCAGAGGUAAGGCCGAACGGACAUACGCGCUUUCCUCAGAAUGCCAUGACUGAAUCACGAGGGGUUUUGGUUUUGUAAUUUUCCUUCAUCAAAUACAGUCUUAGGGCAGAACAGUAAACAAAAUGUUGAGUUUAUAGUAACUUUGUGUUGUUUUUGAGUAUUUAAAAAAAAUAGGAAAAGUUAAAAGAUAAAGCUUUUUGUAUGGGUGUGUGGAAAGUAAGAAUAAACUUAAAAAACAAACAAACAAAAAAUCAAACCAAAUCAAAACAAAAAAACCUUGAAAACCACAAUGUUAUGAGUUCACAUAUUUUGCCCAGUAAUUCCAACCCUUGUGAAGUAUCUGAGAAAAAUAUGACUAUGUAUACAAAGAAAGUUUUAUGGAAAGAAACAAAAAAUGAACUUCUGCAAGAGAAUUCAGGGUUGGUAGAGAGCUGGCCUUGAAUGCAUGAGGCCCAGUUACCAGUUUGGAGAGUGGAAGGAAGGUGGCAUUGUGUGAUGAGGGGAAGCCUUGUGCUGGAACCAUUUGCAAAGGGCUUCCUGGCUGUUUUGUAGGCGUGUGCAUAUGGGGUUGGAGGGAUGGCUGUGUAGCGGGAAGACCAAUGCCAUCUGUCUUUCCAUAGCCUGUACUCCUGGACAGCAGUAGCAUUCUAGCUGACAGAAUUCUGCUGAUGGAUACUUUCUUCCAAAUUGUCAUUUACCUUGGUGAGGUAAGGGUGUCAUCCGUUUCUUUUUUUCCUGUUGUUUACUUCAAUUUAUUGUGUGUGGAUGUUUGUGAAUCUCUAUGACUAUGGUACAGCUUGGUUGAGUCAUCUCUAUCUUUCCACCAUCUUCGUCCUGGGGCAGUUACAUUCCAGUGGGAAUGUGGUCAGAGGACACCUUGUAAGCCGGCUGCUUUCUCCACUCACCACUGAGUCCUGGGGUCAAACUUCAGUCACCAGGCUUGGUGCCUAGAGGCCAGUCUUUAGGUGAAUUAGUCAGGUGGACAGUUAACACCAGCUGUCAUAGACUUUUUUCACCUGCUUUGGAUGGUGCUCGUGGAAAAAUGUCUCAAGUGUUAGUGAAGUCUGCUAUCAGUGCCCAGCAGCAGUUUUGGUUGGUUUGUUUUGGUGUAGACCAUAGCCCAGUGGCGGAAGGCUGGAUACCAGGACAUGCCCGAGUAUGAAAACUUCAAGCACCUUCUUCAGGCGCCCCUGGAUGAUGCCCAAGAAAUUCUGCAAGCACGCUUCCCAAUGCCACGUUAUAUCAACACAGAGCAUGGCGGCAGUCAGGUGGGUGAGCUCUGUCCCAGCUCUAGUGGAUUUUUUUGUUGUUAUUUCAUGACCCAUUUUAUAGCUAUCAAUGUAAACAGGCUGGUUACAGUUGUAUGUGGUGGGAUAAAGUUCCAUGCAGUUGGUCUCUCAGCUAUGAGUUUUGUUUUGUUUCAACUGUGUAUUUCACUUCCAGGCUGGCCUGAGGCUCACUAUGUGGUAGUUGCAGGUUGGUCUCGGACUUGUGAUUCCCAUACCUCUACCGCCGACAUGUGCCUCACCAUGCCUAGUGGUGACUUGUUAAAUGAAUGUACUAAUGCAGAAGUAGAAGAUUAUUAGUAUUUUUAGAUCAUUUGUAGGUGGCGAGCCUGGGCUUAAGAUAAAAGCAGUAGGAUUUCU
rnacentral:lncRNA from 1 species